rnacentral:rRNA from 1 species
UACGUAGGGUGCAAGCGUUGUCCGGAAUUAUUGGGCGUAAAGAGCUCGUAGGCGGUCUGUCGCGUCGGCUGUGAAAACCCGGAGCUCAACUCCGGGCCUGCAGUCGAUACGGGCAGACUGGAGUUCGGCAGGGGAGACUGGAAUUCCUGGUGUAGCGGUGAAAUGCGCAGAUAUCAGGAGGAACACCGGUGGCGAAGGCGGGUCUCUGGGCCGAUACUGACGCUGAGGAGCGAAAGCUAGGGGAGCAAACAGG